UACAGAGGGUGCAAGCGUUGUUCGGAAUUAUUGGGCGUAAAGCGCGUGUAGGCGGCUUUGCAAGUCGGGUGUGAAAUCCCUCAGCUUAACUGAGGAAGUGCGCCCGAAACUGCAGAGCUUGAGUACCGGAGAGGGUGGCGGAAUUCCCCAAGUAGAGGUGAAAUUCGUAGAUAUGGGGAGGAACACCGGUGGCGAAGGCGGCCACCUGGACGGUAACUGACGCUGAGACGCGAAAGCGUGGGGAGCAAACAGGG
rnacentral:rRNA from 1 species